CAGCAGUAGCCGCGGGAAUACGUAGGUGGCAAGCGUUGUCCGGAAUUAUUGGGCGUAAAGGGCUCGCAGGCGGUUUCUUAAGUCUGAUGUGAAAGCCCCCGGCUCAACCGGGGAGGGUCAUUGGAAACUGGGAAACUUGAGUGCAGAAGAGGAGAGUGGAAUUCCACGUGUAGCGGUGAAAUGCGUAGAGAUGUGGAGGAACACCAGUGGCGAAGGCGACUCUCUGGUCUGUAACUGACGCUGAGGAGCGAAAGCGUGGGGAGCGAACAGGAUUAGAUACCCGCGUAGUCCCUGUCUCUUAUAC
rnacentral:rRNA from 1 species